AUGCGGCCGUGGCAACCGCAGAUGCAGGAUGUGGUGGGCCUUGCCGCCGCGGCCGAUCCCCAGUUUGUGAGGCUCCGGGACAACGCCCGAGAGAAGAUAUUCAAGUUUUUGCUAACGUUGCAAUUGCUGCCUCUCUGGCGGCCGCGCCUCCGGGCGCUCGCGAGCCGGCUAGAGGAAAUCUUGUUUAGAAAAUACCCAAACAAGAUGGAGUACCACAACAUGACGAGGCGACCAAUGUCGCCAACAAUGAUGUUUGCUAUCAAGACCUACACGGCUCAGAACCGACAAUACCGACAAAAUCAACAAUCGUUAAGACAGAUAGCAUCUUCCCAUGGCUAUGGUGCGAUGAAUCUGACAUCCAAUAUCAUGCAAGGUGCGAGUGAAAAUUCUAGAAUGUUUUAUGUGACGGGCAAUGUUGGCCCUUUGUCCUCUACUGCAGACAUGGUUCUGCAGAACGCCAACAUGGAUACCUCACUGCCAGAAGGAGCUUCUGAUGGGCAUGUGAACACAAUGCUUUCACUAGGGAUAAACCCUACACGACAUGAUCUUUCUGGAGCGUCCAAUAACAACCUGUUAACACACAAUCUGGAUACACGUGAAGCCAACAGAUUCUCUCCCAAGGUGGCGCAGGGACGCCCGGCACCUGUGAAGGAUCUCCCAAGGGAACCAAAAUUCACCUGCCCAGUCUGCAUCAAUGAGCUGGUCGAUGCAUCGUCUACUAUCUGCGGCCACAUCUUCUGCAAGAAAUGCAUAGAGGCCUCCAUCCGAUUUCAGAAGAAGUGCCCUACCUGUCGUAGGAGGCUGACCAUGAGAAAUUUCCACCGAAUCUACCUCCCGGCGAUGGAUUGA
rnacentral:rRNA from 1 species